rnacentral:rRNA from 1 species
GACGAACGCUGGCGGCGUGCUUAACACAUGCAAGUCGAACGAAGAGCGAUGGAAGCUUGCUUCUAUCAAUCUUAGUGGCGAACGGGUGAGUAACGCGUAAUCAACCUGCCCUUCAGAGGGGGACAACAGUUGGAAACGACUGCUAAUACCGCAUACGAUCUAAACUCGGCAUCGAGGAUAGAUGAAAGGUGGCCUCUACAUGUAAGCUAGCACUGAAGGAGGGGAUUGCGGCUGAUUAGCUAGUUGGAGGGGUAACGGCCCACCAAGGCGAUGAUCAGUAGCCGGUCUGAGAGGAUGAACGGCCACAUUGGGACUGAGACACGGCCCAGACUCCUACGGGAGGCAGCAGUGGGGAAUCUUCCGCAAUGGACGAAAGUCUGACGGAGCAACGCCGCGUGAGUGAUGACGGCCUUCGGGUUGGAAAGCUCUGUUAAUCGGGACGAAAGGCCUUCUUGCGAAUAGGGAGAAGGAUUGACGGUACCGGAAUAGAAAGCCACGGCUAACUACGUG